rnacentral:rRNA from 1 species
CUGACUGACCGAUAGUGAACCAGUACCGUGAGGGAAAGGCGAAAAGAACCCCGGCGAGGGGAGUGAAAAAGAACCUGAAACCGUGUACGUACAAGCAGUGGGAGCACGCUUAGGCGUGUGACUGCGUACCUUUUGUAUAAUGGGUCAGCGACUUAUAUUCUGUAGCAAGGUUAACCGAAUAGGGGAGCCGAAGGGAAACCGAGUCUUAACUGGGCGUUAAGUUGCAGGGUAUAGACCCGAAACCCGGUGAUCUAGCCAUGGGCAGGUUGAAGGUUGGGUAACACUAACUGGAGGACCGAACCGACUAAUGUUGAAAAAUUAGCGGAUGACUUGUGGCUGGGGGUGAAAGGCCAAUCAAACCGGGAGAUAGCUGGUUCUCCCCGAAAGCUAUUUAGGUAGCGCCUCGUGAAUUCAUCUCCGGGGGUAGAGCACUGUUUCGGCAAGGGGGUCAUCCCGACUUACCAACCCGAUGCAAACUGCGAAUACCGGAGAAUGUUAUCACGGGAGACACACGGCGGGUGCUAACGUCCGUCGUGAAGAGGGAAACAACCCAGACCGCCAGCUAAGGUCCCAAAGUCAUGGUUAAGUGGGAAACGAUGUGGGAAGGCCCAGACAGCCAGGAUGUUGGCUUAGAAGCAGCCAUCAUUUAAAGAAAGCGUAAUAGCUCACUGGUCGAGUCGGCCUGCGCGGAAGAUGUAACGGGGCUAAACCAUGCACCGAAGCUGCGGCAGCGACGCUUAUGCGUUGUUGGGUAGGGGAGCGUUCUGUAAGCCUGUGAAGGUGUGCUGUGAGGUAUGCUGGAGGUAUCAGAAGUGCGAAUGCUGACAUAAGUAACGAUAAAGCGGGUGAAAAGCCCGCUCGCCGGAAGACCAAGGGUUCCUGUCCAACGUUAAUCGGGGCAGGGUGAGUCGACCCCUAAGGCGAGGCCGAAAGGCGUAGUCGAUGGGAAACAGGUUAAUAUUCCUGUACUUGGUGUUACUGCGAAGGGGGGACGGAGAAGGCUAUGUUGGCCGGGCGACGGUUGUCCCGGUUUAAGCGUGUAGGCUGGUUUUCCAGGCAAAUCCGGAAAAUCAAGGCCGAGGCGUGAUGACGAGGCACUACGGUGCUGAAGCAACAAAUGCCCUGCUUCCAGGAAAAGCCUCUAAGCAUCAGGUAACAUCAAAUCGUACCCCAAACCGACACAGGUGGUCAGGUAGAGAAUACCAAGGCGCUUGAGAGAACUCGGGUGAAGGAACUAGGCAAAAUGGUGCCGUAACUUCGGGAGAAGGCACGCUGAUACGUAGGUGAAGCGACUUGCUCGUGGAGCUGAAAUCAGUCGAAGAUACCAGCUGGCUGCAACUGUUUAUUAAAAACACAGCACUGUGCAAACACGAAAGUGGACGUAUACGGUGUGACGCCUGCCCGGUGCCGGAAGGUUAAUUGAUGGGGUUAGCGCAAGCGAAGCUCUUGAUCGAAGCCCCGGUAAACGGCGGCCGUAACUAUAACGGUCCUAAGGUAGCGAAAUUCCUUGUCGGGUAAGUUCCGACCUGCACGAAUGGCGUAAUGAUGGCCAGGCUGUCUCCACCCGAGACUCAGUGAAAUUGAACUCGCUGUGAAGAUGCAGUGUACCCGCGGCAAGACGGAAAGACCCCGUGAACCUUUACUAUAGCUUGACACUGAACAUUGAGCCUUGAUGUGUAGGAUAGGUGGGAGGCUUUGAAGUGUGGACGCCAGUCUGCAUGGAGCCGACCUUGAAAUACCACCCUUUAAUGUUUGAUGUUCUAACGUGGACCCGUGAUCCGGGUUGCGGACAGUGUCUGGUGGGUAGUUUGACUGGGGCGGUCUCCUCCUAAAGAGUAACGGAGGAGCACGAAGGUUGGCUAAUCCUGGUCGGACAUCAGGAGGUUAGUGCAAUGGCAUAAGCCAGCUUGACUGCGAGCGUGACGGCGCGAGCAGGUGCGAAAGCAGGUCAUAGUGAUCCGGUGGUUCUGAAUGGAAGGGCCAUCGCUCAACGGAUAAAAGGUACUCCGGGGAUAACAGGCUGAUACCGCCCAAGAGUUCAUAUCGACGGCGGUGUUUGGCACCUCGAUGUCGGCUCAUCACAUCCUGGGGCUGAAGUAGGUCCCAAGGGUAUGGCUGUUCGCCAUUUAAAGUGGUACGCGAGCUGGGUUUAGAACGUCGUGAGACAGUUCGGUCCCUAUCUGCCGUGGGCGCUGGAGAACUGAGGGGGGCUGCUCCUAGUACGAGAGGACCGGAGUGGACG